GGGGGCAAGCGUUGUUCGGAAUUAUUGGGCGUAAAGAGCUCGUAGGCGGUCUGUCGCGUCGGUCGUGAAAACUUGGGGCUUAACCCUGAGCUUGCGGUCGAUACGGGCAUGACUGGAGUUCGGUAGGGGAGACUGGAAUUCCUGGUGUAGCGGUGAAAUGCGCAGAUAUCAGGAGGAACACCGGUGGCGAAGGCGGGUCUCUGGGCCGAUACUGACGCUGAGGAGCGAAAGCGUGGGGAGCGAACAGG
rnacentral:rRNA from 1 species